rnacentral:rRNA from 1 species
AGCGAACGCUGGCGGCAGGCCUAACACAUGCAAGUCGAACGAUCCUUCGGGAUAGUGGCGGACGGGUGGGUAACACGUGGGAACGUGCCCUUUGGUUCGGAAUAACUCAGGGAAACUUGAGCUAAUACCGGAUGUGCCCUUCGGGGGAAAGAUUUAUCGCCAUUGGAGCGGCCCGCGUUGGAUUAGCUAGUUGGUGGGGUAAAGGCCCACCAAGGCUACGAUCCAUAGCUGGUCUGAGAGGAUGAUCAGCCACACUGGGACUGAGACACGGCCCAGACUCCUACGGGAGGCAGCAGUGGGGAAUCUUGCGCAAUGGGCGAAAGCCUGACGCAGCCAUGCCGCGUGAAUGAUGAAGGUCUUAGGAUUGUAAAAUUCUUUCACCGGGGACGAUAAUGACGGUACCCGGAGAAGAAGCCCCGGCUAACUUCGUGCCAGCAGCCGCCGUAAUAC